rnacentral:SRP_RNA from 1 species
GCUGGGCAUGGUGGCGCAUGCCUGUAAUCCCAGCUACUCUGGAGGCUGAGGCGGGAGAAUAGCUCGAACCAGGGAGCUAGAGGUUGCAGUGAGCCGAGAUUAUGCCACUGCACUCCAUCCUGGCAACAGAGCAAGACUCUGUCUCAA